UGUUGGGACACUAGAUGUCUUAGUAGCGAAGCUAACGCGUGAAAUUGUCCGCCUGGGGAGUACGGUCGCAAGAUUAAAACUCAAAGGAAUUGACGGGGACCCGCACAAGCGGUGGAUGAUGUGGAUUAAUUCGAUGCAACGCGAAGAACCUUACCUGGUCUUGACAUGUACGGAAUCUCUUAGAGAUAGGAGAGUGCCUUCGGGAGCCGUAACACAGGUGCUGCAUGGCUGUCGUCAGCUCGUGUCGUGAGAUGUUGGGUUAAGUCCCGCAACGAGCGCAACCCUUGUCAUUAGUUGCCAUCAUUAAGUUGGGCACUCUAAUGAGACUGCCGGUGACAAACCGGAGGAAGGUGGGGAUGACGUCAAGUCCUCAUGGCCCUUAUGACCAGGGCUUCACACGUCAUACAAUGGUCGGUACAGAGGGUAGCGAAGCCGCGAGGUGAAGCCAAUCUCAGAAANCCGAUCGUAGUCCGGAUUGCACUCUGCAACUCGAGUGCAUGAAGUCGGAAUCGCUAGUAAUCGCAGGUCAGCAUACUGCGGUGAAUANGUUCCCGGGUCUUGUAUCAACANCCGCCCGUCACANCCAUGGGAGUGGGGGAUA
rnacentral:rRNA from 1 species